rnacentral:rRNA from 1 species
GACAGAGGGGGCAAGCGUUGCUCGGAAUUACUGGGCGUAAAGGGCGCGUAGGCGGGAUGGUAAGUCGGUCGUGAAAUCCCUCGGCUCAACCGAGGAACGUCGAUCGAUACUACCGUUCUUGAGGAUUGCAGAGGAGACUGGAAUUCCCGGUGUAGCGGUGAAAUGUGUAGAGAUCAGGAGGAACACCGGUGGCGAAGGCGGGUCUCUGGGCAAUUCCUGA